GGACAUCGUCCUGUUGUAUAUAUUAUUACAUGUAACGAAGAUAAUAAUCUCAUAGCCUACUGCUGAUUAGGUCAUCUGGUUAACUUCUAUCCUGCUGAUUAUAUCAUCUGAUUAUAAGAUUAUUACCCUCGUUCCAUGUAGUGAUAUGUGAACUUACAAUUACAUCCAUCUCCCCUUGCCAGGUGUACGUGUGGAAACUGUGACCGCAUGCCCCAGGAGAGAGAAAAUAUAUGUUGCCGGGAAGUACCCCAGGUCAUGAGAAGAAUGACCCAGGUUCCGGAGGAGAUAACCUGUAUGAUUGACCAUCCUGGCCUUGAACCGGUGUGCCUCAACAUAUAUUCUUUACAAAAUGCAAUGAACAUCUACAGAGCUGACCAUGGGCAGUUGAGAAUAAGAGGGAUGGAAAGGCAAUGCAGACACUUGGCCUACAGAUCUUUCGUGAGCUGGUGCUGGGGUUUCCUUGGGCGAAGUGUCCGUGUUGUGAUCCCCUCUUGUGUGGUGCUGCGCAUACGGAGGGAGUUUCCGGAAACAUCAGGGCAGUAUGUCGGGUUCAGACCCCCCCUCGACUGAACCGUGACACAUGCUCAGCGACAGCAUCCUCCCUGGAAGGUCUGGGAAGCUGAGCACACAAGUCUUGGGGCACAGGAAUCUGCUGGACGGCAUCCACAUAACGAAGGGAGUCAUGGACGAUCUCUUCGAACACCAGUCUUAUCAGGUUAAAGACAUAGCCUG